rnacentral:misc_RNA from 1 species
AAUCAUUUCAACCCUUCUUCAUUUCUUUUAGAUCUGGGGAAAGGGCUUGGACUUUGGAGGUUAUACUGCUGGCGUCUCUCGAGGCCUAGCUCCUCUUAAAUGAAUUAGCAGGGUCCCUUUUGCCGAACCCUUGAUGUGAUAAGGUUCUCCUACAUCCAGGGGGUUUUUGGCUUUGUAAGGCC